CGGACGGGUGAGUAACGCGUGGGUAACCUACCCCUAAGAUUGGGAUAAGCAGAGGGAAACUUCUGCUAAUACCGAAUAUACUUGUUGGAUCGCAUGGUCUGACAAGGAAAGGUGGCCUCUGACAUAAGCUACCGUUUAGGGAUGGACCCGCGUCUGAUUAGCUAGUUGGUGAGGUAACGGCUCACACAAGGCGAUGAUCUGUAGCCGGCCUGAGAGGGUGAACGGCCACACUGGGACUGAGACACGGCCCAGACUCCUACGGGAGGCAGCAGUGGGGAAUCUUCCGCAAUGGGCGAAAGCCUGACGGAGCAACGCCGCGUGAAUGAUGAAGGCCUUCGGGUCGUAAAGUUCUGUCUUUAGGGAAGAAUGUCAUCUUUGUGAAUAAUGAUGGGUGAAUGACGGUACCUUUAGA
rnacentral:rRNA from 1 species